rnacentral:rRNA from 1 species
UACGUAGGUGGCGAGCGUUGUCCGGAUUUACUGGGCGUAAAGGGAGCGUAGGCGGACUUUUAAGUGAGAUGUGAAAUACCCGGGCUCAACCUGGGUGCUGCAUUUCAAACUGGAAGUCUAGAGUGCAGGAUAGGAGAAUGGAAUUCCUAGUGUAGCGGUGAAAUGCGUAGAGAUUAGGAAGAACACCAGUGCCGAAGGCGAUUCUCUGGACUGUAACUGGCGCUGAGGCUCGAAAGCGUGGGGAGCAAACAGG